rnacentral:rRNA from 1 species
AUACGGAGGACGCGAGCGUUAUCCGGAUUCAUUGGGUUUAAAGGGUGCGCAGGCGGCCGUGCAAGUCAGCGGUGAAAGCCCGGGGCUCAACCCCGGAAGUGCCGUUGAUACUGCAUGGCUUGAAUGCGGUCGAGGCGGGCGGAACGUGGCGGGUAGCGGGGAAAUGCGUAGAUAUGCCACAGAACGCCGAUAGCGGAGGCAGCUCGCCAGGCCUGCAUUGACGCUCGGGCACGAAAGCGUGGGGAUCGAACAGGAUUAGAUACCCUGGUAGUCCACGCCGUAAACGAUGGGCGCUCGUCGUCGGCGGCAGACAGUCGGCGGCCAAGCGAAAGCGAUAAGCGCCCCACCUGGGGAGUACGGUCGCAAGGCUGAAACUCAAAUGAAUUGACGGGG